AUCAAUAAGCGGAGGAAAAGAAACCAACAGGGAUUGCCUUAGUAGCGGCGAGUGAAGCGGCAAAAGCUCAAAUUUGAAAUCUGGCUCUUUCAGAGUCCGAGUUGUAAUUUGAAGAAGGUAUCUUUGGGUCUGGCUCUUGUCUAUGUUUCUUGGAACAGAACGUCACAGAGGGUGAGAAUCCCGUGCGAUGAGAUGAUCCAGGCCUAUGUAAAGUUCCUUCGAAGAGUCGAGUUGUUUGGGAAUGCAGCUCUAAGUGGGUGGUAAAUUCCAUCUAAAGCUAAAUAUUGGCGAGAGACCGAUAGCGAACAAGUACAGUGAUGGAAAGAUGAAAAGAACUUUGAAAAGAGAGUGAAAAAGUACGUGAAAUUGUUGAAAGGGAAGGGCUUGAGAUCAGACUUGGUAUUUUGUAUGUUACUUCUUCGGGGGUGGCCUCUACAGUUUAUCGGGCCAGCAUCAGUUUGGGCGGUAGGAGAAUUGCGUUGGAAUGUGGCACGACUUCGGUUGUGUGUUAUAGCCUUCGUCGAUACUGCCAGCCUAGACUGAGGACUGCGGUUUAUACCUAGGAUGUUGGCAUAAUGAUCUUAAGUCGCCCGUCUUGAACCGGGCCA
rnacentral:rRNA from 1 species